UCAGACGAUGCGUCAUGCAUAUCAAUAAGCGGAGGAAAAGAAACUAACAAGGAUUCCCCUAGUAACGGCGAGUGAAGCGGGAAGAGCUCAAAUUUGAAAUCUUCAAGGUUUUACCUUGACGAAUUGUAGUUUAAAGAAGUGUUUUCUGUUGAAGUUUUGGUAAAAGUUCUUUGGAAUAGGACAUCAUAGAGGGUGAGAAUCCCGUAUUUGGUCAUUCCUUCUAGCUUUGUGAUACACUUUCAAAGAGUCGGAUUGUUUGGGAAUGCAGUCCAAAAUGGGUGGUAAAUUUCAUCUAAAGCUAAAUAUUGGCGAGAGACCGAUAGCGAACAAGUACCGUGAGGGAAAGAUGAAAAGAACUUUGAAAAGAGAGUUAAACAGUACGUGAAAUUGUCAAAAGGGAAGCGUUUGACACCAGUGUUGUUUUCUCGAAAAUCAAUUAAAAAGAGUUGGAUUUUGUGUUGUAUUGACCUUAACAGCUUGCUUCACUCUUUUCCUGCUUUUUUUAAUGCACUUUUCGUUUAACAAGUCAACAUCAGUUUCUUUUGUUGUAAAAGGGUCAUUGGAAGGUGGCUUUCUCUUCGGAGAAAGUGUUUAUAGCCUUUGAUCUCUGCAAUCGGAGAGACUGAGGUCUGCAGCGUAGAUCCUUCGGGGUUAGAUACAUUUGUGCUAAGCUACAGCUUUUCAUAGACAACUUGUUGACUAUGUUUAGUCUUGUAACUUACCCGCUUAUGCUAUUUUACCUACGCUUAGGAUGUUGAUAUGCAUGACUGAUA
rnacentral:rRNA from 1 species